CCUACGGGAGGCUGCAGUGAGGAAUAUUGGUCAAUGGACGAGAGUCUGAACCAGCCAAGUAGCGUGAAGGAUGACUGCCCUAUGGGUUGUAAACUUCUUUUAUAUGGGAAUAAAAUGUUCCACGUGUGGGAUUUUGUAUGUACCAUAUGAAUAAGGAUCGGCUAACUCCGUGCCAGCAGCCGCGGUAAUACGGAGGAUCCGAGCGUUAUCCGGAUUUAUUGGGUUUAAAGGGAGCGUAGGUGGAUUGUUAAGUCAGUUGUGAAAGUUUGCGGCUCAACCGUAAAAUUGCAGUUGAAACUGGCAGUCUUGAGUACAGUAGAGGUGGGCGGAAUUCGUGGUGUAGCGGUGAAAUGCUUAGAUAUCACGAAGAACUCCGAUUGCGAAGGCAGUUCACUGGACUGCAACUGACACUGAGGCUCGAAAGUGUGGGUAUCAAACAGGAUUAGAUAACCUAGUAGUC
rnacentral:rRNA from 1 species